rnacentral:lncRNA from 1 species
UUUUUUUUUUUUUUUUCUUUUUUUGGAGACAGGGCCUCACUCUGUUUCCCAGGCUGGAAUGCAGUGCUGCAAUCGCUAUUCACUGCAGCCUCGACCUCCCAGGCUUAGGUGAUCCUCCCACCUCAGCCUCCUGAGUAGCUGGGACUACAGGGGUUACAGGGAUGAGCCACCGCGCCGGGCCUGAAGUUAACUGAUUACAAUGUCUGAGAAAGAACUGGAGCGUGUAGUUAGUUGAGCCUCCCGUUGGCCAGGCACAGCCACCUUGGUAAGUGCAUGUGUGUGUCCUUGUUGCCCUUCUGAUCCUGAGCUCCAAGGAACAAGGCUGUCUUGGGAGUGCGGUGGUUCUAGUCUCGUGAUGGGUGAGUGGCGCCGUCUGACCGAGGUCACCCUGGCGAAUGCUGUGGCUGCUGGGGAGCUGGGACAGAGAAGAGAAAGCCGCUGAGGGUCCCUCUGUGGACCCUGAAGGGAGAGGGACCGAUAUGUGAACAUGGCAGCUGUUUUCUCCAGAGCCCUGUUUACUGACGGCCGAACAGUGUGAAUCCUGAGAAGGUUUGGAUUUGGGUCUGAACUGGGCUCGUCUGGCCAUAGAAGAACAUGAGCUGGUGGCGUCCUCAGGAAAUCAGGGUGUGAGGCAACUGGACGUGGAUGGCUCCGGGUCCCCCCGGCCACUGUCCUGAAGCCGCCGGAGGCUGAGGACGCAUGGGAGUGAGCGUCUCUUCCCUGUCCGGCCACACCCUCUGUGACUGGUGACUCAUGGCAUGGCCCUGGGCAGCAUUUAGGUUUGAGGUCUGUAGAUGGCUCCAGUAUACUGGCUUCUAUUGUUCAGAAAAUUUGGUGAUUCUCAUGGGGGCAGGGGUGGUGAUUUUGCCCCAGGGGAUGUUUGCAACGUCCAGGGAGGUUUCUGGUUAGAAGUGGGAAAAGGGAUGCUCCCAGCAUCUGGGGCUGGAGACAAGGGACGCUGCGGAACGUCCCUCAGAGCACAGGGUGGGCUCCAUAAUAGGAGUCUGGCUCAGGAUGUCGCCGUGUUGUGCUUCGGAAGCCCUGGGCGGGGCUGAUGUGGUGAAGCCUCAUCUUCUCUGGACACGUGCGUCCUCGUCCUCUCUCAUGAUUUCCUUCUUGCCAGCAUUGAUGCUUAGCCCCUCAGAAUCUAUGCGGUGCUGGUGAGUGGUCCUCCGGGCAGAGCAGAAGGAAUGAGAUACCUCAGAGCCGGUGUGACACGUUCUCAGGAUACGGCUGCAGGGAGUUUCAGUCCGACCCUUUCAUUCCUUAGCACUGGCCCAUUACUCCGUCCUGUAAGCUCGAUAAGGUCACAUCAGAAGCACAGUAAGCUGCUGCCACGCUGCCGUCAGCUGCCGCGAAGGUGGCAGUGACCACAGCCUCGUGACUGAUUCACAGCCUGGCUGCGCUUGGUCUUGAGAAUUUUAUGUUUUGCUGGGCAGGGUCUCCCCCGUAUUGAAGCUUCCCUUCCCUUUUUUGGAGACUGAAGGAAGGAAAAGAGGAGUGAUAGGGAAGAGGGGAGAGAGGAUUUGCAGCAUUGUGGCUGUCCCCACAGAUUUCAAUGUGGAGUUAAGCUGCCGAGACCCCCACCUGCCCUCCUGUGUGCCUCAGGCCCCUCCUGGUCCCAGGUCACCCACACCGUCUGGCUUCCAGCGAGCGCUUCUCGGAGAAACAGCCGGCUCCCCACAGCCAGUCUUGGUCAGUCCUGAGCUCGGGUAUUCCACAGUAAAGUGAGCGACAUCACCUGUCUGAAAAGCAUAAGGAGACUCCCACGUGGCGGUGCUGAGGGGCCACAUCCUGGGCACCAGGCCAGCCAGUGCCCCGACAUGAGUGUUGCUGGCUGGGAAGCAGCUGGCAUUUGGAUUGAAGUCCUGCAAAAACUGCCAUGGCCAGAGCCUGCCAGGCAGAGCCUGCACAGAGCGGCCCAAGAGCUGGGCACGUGCUGGGCCUGGGUGGAGGUGGAGGCUGUGCCAUGGGGUGCGGGGGACCCUGCUCACAGCUCACCUUGUGGUCACCCAGCACUGACCCCGUUCACAGCUCGCCUUGUGGUCACCCAGCACUGACCCACCC